UACGGGAGGCAGCAGUGGGGAAUAUUGCACAAUGGGCGAAAGCCUGAUGCAGCUAUGCCGCGUGUAUGAAGAAGGCCUUAGGGUUGUAAAGUACUUUCAUCGGGGAGGAAAAACAAAACUAAUAAUUUUAUUUCUUGACGUUACCCGAAAAAGAAGCACCGGCUAACUCCGUGCCAGCAGCCGCGGUAAUACGGAGGGUGCUAGCGUUAAUCAGAAUUACUGGGCGUAAAGAGCACGUAGGUGGUUUUUUUAAGUUCAGAUGUGAAAUCCCUGGGCUUAACCUGGAACUGCAUUUUGAAACUGAAAUACUAGAGUAUCGUAGAGGGAGGUAGAAUUCUAGGUGUAGCGGUGAAAUGCGUAGAUAUCUGGAGGAAUACCUGUGGCGAAAGCGGCCUCCUAAACGAAUACUGACACUGAGGUGCGAAAGCGUGGGGAGCAAACAGGGAUUAGACUACC
rnacentral:rRNA from 1 species